rnacentral:rRNA from 1 species
GAUGAACGCUGGCGGCGUGCCUAAUACAUGCAAGUCGAGCGGACAGACGAGGAGCUCUUUCCUCUGACGUUAGCGGCGGACGGGUGAGUAACACGUGGAUCACCUACCUAUAAUACUGGGAUAACUACGGGAAACCGGAGCUGCUAACAGCUAAUAUAUUGAACCGCAUGGUUCAAUAGUUAAAGACGGUUUUGCUGUCACUUAUAGCUGGAUCCGCGCCGCAUUAGCUAGUUGGUAAGGUAACAGCUUACCAAGGAAACGAUGCGUGGCCGACCUGAGAGGGUGAUCGGCCACACUGGAACUGAGACACGGUCCAGACUCCUACGGGAGGCAGCAGUAGGGAAUCUUCCGCAAUGGGCGAAAGCCUGACGGAGCCACGCCGCGUGAGUGAUGAAGGUCUUCGGAUCGUAAAACUCUGUUAUUAGGGAAGAACAAAUGUGUAAGUAACUAUGCCCGUUUUGACGGUACCUAAUCAGUAAGCCACGGCUAACUACGUG